CAGUAGCCGCGGUAAAACCAGCAGCCCAAGUGGUGGUCGCGAUUAUUGGGCCUAAAGCGCUCGUAGCCAGGCCGGUAAGUCCCUUGUGAAAUCGGACGGCCUAACCGUUCGGCGUGCAAGGGAUACUGUCGGUCUUGAGGCCGGGAGACGUCCGAGGUACUCCGGGGGUAGCGGUGAAAUGUUCUGAUCCUCGGGGGACCACCGGUGGCGAAGGCGUUCGACGAGAACGGGCCUGACGGUGAGGGGCGAAGGCUAGGGGAGCAAACGGGAUUAGAUACCCGCGUAGUCCCUGUCUCUUAUA
rnacentral:rRNA from 1 species